GGGUAGGAUCUCUUUCAGGAGCCGACCCUACCCAAAUCAGAGGCUAAUGAACGAAAAAGACAGAAAUUUCGGUCUGGUAACACCUCUGCCUGAGCUGCAGUGCUAGUUGUGGCUGUUGGUGGGAUAAUUUUCUACAGGAUGAUGAUGAUUUUCAUAACCACCCCCCCCCCCCCCCUCCCCAAGAAAUCUAAAUUUCAUCAAUAAGAGUCUAGUCUUGACAGGUCUUAUAGGAAUUGAAAGGAAAUGGACAGAAGCUUCCUUUUUUGACAUAUACAUUUGCUGAUAAUGUUACAGUAGACCUAGCUUAGUCUUAUAACUCUAUUAGUAAACUAGAGAGAAAGAGAAAUUGUAAUUUCUUAUCAAAUAUCAACAUAUUUUUCAUCUUGAUUUUCUGCUAUUUCAGGUUCUUUCCAAUUGAUGCAUGGGGAUGAAAAAAGAAGGCCUCUCCCAAGCUACUGUGUCCCGCCUUGUGAAGUCCAUCUCAAUAGCCAUUGCCAGGAGAUCGGAGCAAUACAUCUCAAUUCUUUCAACAAGAGAGGCAGUCCUGCAGAGUGCAGACCCAACAUGAGUUUUAUAAUUACUGCCAUUUCCCUGGCGUUAAUAUGGUUGGUGCUAUUGAUUGCACCCACAAAGCGUCUCCAAGCCAGUUGGCCCAACACCAGUUAUUUCCUGAACAGGAAAAAUAGAUACUCUGUUUUUCUUGGAAAGUCUGCUGGAUGAUGUUCUUCUUCAGUAAAAUAAAUGAAGGCAAAUAACCUGAUGAUUAAGACAAAUUCAGAGAGAGGAAGGAGAACUACUGAGCUGCUGAAUUUCUGAGAGACAUACUUGCAGGGACUAUGAAGUUCUACUUAGCCUAUUCAAUGAACCAAACUCCAUCUGCUGUAACUGUGACUGCAUGGGGAUCAAAACCUUUGUAUUAUAAUCCUCAUAACAUGAAGCUAUGGUAACAAACAAGCAACCAUUGAUAAUAAGCCUGAUAUGUCCUUGUUGUGUG